rnacentral:lncRNA from 1 species
GAUUUUGUUAAAUUAAUAUUUCACACUGCAGCUGAUUGGUCUGUUGAUGUACCACCUUUUCUAUAUAAUUUGAAUUAUAUCCUUUUCAGCAGUUAAAUAGUUAAAUGAGAUACACUAAGUCCCGUGAGCAUAACUCAGUUGGUAGGACAAUGCAUUAUUAUAUGCAGGGGUUCGAACCCCGGAAACCCCACUUAUUCACCUUAUAAGAUGAAUUCUAGCCACUAGACUACCUUACCAAAAAAAAUAAAAAUGAGAUACACUAAAAUUUCUUCAAAACUAUAACCUGUGAAGAAACCAUCACCCAUCAAGCCAGCCUGUAAAGAUGACCAGAGUCCAUUUCUUACAGCCCUUCAUCCAAAGGAAAAUUUGCCACGCACAUAUGAAUUUCAAAAGGUAUAUCUUCCAGACAAAUUCAUUCUUUUUUAGUUGAUCAUCAUCAUUGGAAAACUUAGGCUUGUGAAGCAAGAAAAGCAAUAUCCCAAAAUGAUUUGCAAACAAUAGCUUGGUGAAAUUAUUUAUGGCCAGAAAUCAAUAUCAUACGAUAACUGUGUCAGUUUCCUGAGGAUACGCGAGAAAAUGUUAAAACAAAACAAGUUAUUGUUACUAGAAGCAGUCUCACUCAGGUGAUUU